rnacentral:tRNA from 1 species
GGCCCCCUCGUCUAGUGGCCUAGGACGUCACCCUCUCACGGUGAAGACACGGGUUCGACUCCCGUGGGGGCUA